UAUAACUGCAAAAUGAUUUUAGGGAUUUUAUAAAAGGAAACAAGAAGGAAACACGAAAAAAUGGGAGGGGUUAGGUGGUUCUUCAACAAUCGGUAGGGUGGGCGUCGUCAGAGGCCGUCGACGACGUCUAACUCGGCCGGAGAAGAGAGGUGAGCGAAGGCUCGCAACAACUAAUCUUGAGGCCCUAACUGAUCGCGAAGAGGGAGAAGAGAUGAAGGCAGCGAUGCCUUCUCUUUCUUGUUUGACGAUUUCAGACCCAUCGCACUCGAGUGGCGAGCUCCGGUGGUCGACUCGACCGAAGAAGGACGUGGGCAGAAGUAGUGACGCUGCUGUGGGGUUGACGGAUGGGAGUGAGAUGCAAGGGAAAAGGUGGUCUCUGUCCUUGGGCUGAUCACGAAGAUGAACAGGCAUUUGGUCGACAGGAAGAGGACAUUUUUCCCGAUGGAGCAAGGCAAACGGAAAUAGAAGCUCCAAUUGGGGUUUUGGCAGUGAUGCUCGAUAAAAGAAGAACGAAGCUAUGGUGGCUCACGAAGAGACAACUAAUUGUAUGGGGAUGCUUUUGCAGCUCCUACGUUCUUUCGUUUUUUUAAUUUUGAUGGAAAUUGAUGGGUUUUUGGAUUGAAUUUAUUGUUUGACAGUAGCGGAUAUACCCUAAGUGGGUGUUCGGGUUCCUUGUAAUCGAUAAGAAGAAGAUGAAGAAUACUUGUGUAUGAGUUUGAUGUUUGGUUUUAGUUUGACAAGGAAGGAAACAAAAAUGUGAUGUUGUUGUUUCUGUUUGCAGAUAUACCCUAGAACAAGAACAAAGUGUUCUUGUGUUCUUGGCUGAAAUCGGUGAGAAAGAAAGAAUUUUGGAUUUUUAGGUUUAUGGUUUAGGUUUUGGUAUUUUACAGGGAAGAUGAAGAACAGAAUGAUGGAUGCAAGUUGUUUUGUUCGAUUCUUACAGUUUUAGUAUUUCUUUUGUGUGUGGGUUAGUUUAAACUAAAAUUAGAAGCAACAUGUGGGUAAAGUGAUUUAUUACACUUUAAAUAAACGAAAGUGAUUUUUUUCUUACAGUUUUAGUAUUUCCUGCUUAUGUACUUUCUCUCCACUUUCUUUUUAUCUUCUUCAGGGACUGAUUAUUCUGCUUAAUCUUUCAGUUGACCUGGCUUAAUGCUCAUCUUACAAAGAUAUGGCCCUAUGUUGAUGAGAUCAGUUUUAAAUUUUAAACCCCUCUAUUCACCAUCAUUAUGGUAAUAUGCUUAUCAUGUGUUUUUGGAUUGUCUUGAAUAAUACAGACCAAUGGUGUUGUCCUCUUUGUCAUUUUCCAUGUUUACCCUCGGCACGGUGGCCCCCCAGUUUACAGGAGUUUCUAUUGUUGAAGACGGAGGUGAAGGAAUAACUAUGGGGUUGGAAAUGAAUUGGGAGGGAAACCCUAACAUAAUACUUGAUAUCAAGACUAGACUAGGAGUUGGAUUUCCUGUGCAGGUGAAGAAUAUUGCAUUCACUGCGUUUUUAGGUUGAUUUUUAAGCCGCUAGUAUAUAUAAAAGCACAUUGAUCUCAGGAACAUUUCAUUUAUCCUUUGAACUAUAACUAAUUAUUUUACUACUCUAUAGUAAUUUGUAUCAACAUUAUUAAAUAUGUUUUUGUUUUUAAAAUUUGGUUGUUAUUUCGGGGUAAAACGUGUUUAUUGUUAUGAAGUAGUUGUUGAACU